GUGAAUCAUCAAAUUUUUGAACGCAAAUUGCACUCUCCGCGGAGAGGAUGCGUGUUUGAGGGUGAGCCUAUAAAAAUAGACAUAGUUGCUGUUUCGUGGUGGUGUUAGUGGGAUAGUGGGUCAUCUUAAAUACUUUUGAUUUAAGCGAAUUAAAAUUUUGUUUUGGUUCCUUGUACGUUUCUAAGAUCUAUUUCUUUAUACGUUUAUGGUAUCGAUUUUUACUAGACGUGAUCAUAAUAUAGGAUAGAGUACAUAUUAU
rnacentral:misc_RNA from 1 species